AAAAAUUCAAGAACUAUCAUGGCUUCUCAAAAAUCCAUCUUAUUGGUCACCCUUAUGUUGAUUGUCAUAGCAAGCACGUCGGCAAAGUUUUGCACAACCAAUAAAGAUUGCGAGUAUCUAGUUCCUAUUUGCAAAAAGACACACAAACAAGCAGUUUGUUUUACAACGAGGCACGGCCUCUGUGAUGAUUUCCAAGGAAUUGAGAAGAUUGAUGCCGAGAUCCAAAACCAGUGACGACUCCAGACUUAAAUGCAAAAUAAGUAUGAAGCUGUGCAUGAAGUCUGCAGCUCUACUUGAGAUUAAACAUUCAGUGAAUUAGUGAAAAUUAUACUCAAAAUAAGAGCAAUUAUAUUUUUGUUAACCAUGUUUCUAAUAUCUAUCAAUUUAGAGAUUUUGUCUCCAAAUCAAUAAAGUUGUAAGUCUUUACAUGAUUAUGUUAGCCUUUGCGUUUUAUCAAUCGUAAUUGUAAAAGUAUAUCAAUUUAGACAAUAUGACAUCAUUCUAU